UGACUGCGGCGGUCGCCUCCUAAAGAGUAACGGAGGCGUACAAAGGUAAGCUCAAAUUGGAAUUUCAAGAUCAAUUGUAGAGCGUAAUAGUAUAUUGCUUGCCUGACUGUAAGAUUGACAAAUCAAGCAGGGACGAAAGUCGGUUAUAGUGAUCCGGUGGUUCUGUGUGGAAACGACCAUCGCUCAUCGAAUAAAAGGUACGCCGGGGAUAACAGGCUUAUCACUCCCAAGAGACCAUAUCGACGGAGUGGUUUGGCACCUCGAUGUUGGAUUAUCACAUCCUGGAGCUGAAGUUGGUUCCAAGGGUUUAGCUGUUCGCUAAAGAAAGUGGUACAUGAUCUGAGUUUAGAACGUUGUGAAACAGUUUGGUCCCUAUCUACCUAAAACACGAAAAUUGAAAGAAUUAAACCCUAGUACGAGAGGACCGGGAAAAAUGAAUCUCUGGUGAAUCAAUUGUUUAACCAUAAGCAUCGUUGAGUAGCUAUAUUCAUAAUAGAUAAGUGCUGAAAGCAUCUAAGCACGAAACUAAUCUUAAGACAAAUUUUUAAUAGUUGUAAAAGAUAAUUACAUAGAUAGAUUUGGUGUGUAAUAAUUGUAAAAUUUUUAGCUAACAAAUACUAAACGA
rnacentral:rRNA from 1 species